GUGAAAACAGCAGAGCUAGAGAAAAGCAAACUGUUAUAAGAAAAACCAACAAAACAAGAGGUAGUAAGAAUCCUGGCGAGGAAGGAAAGACACAGGAGUUUGAACAAAAGAUGAGAUGUGGAGUUUGUAGUGGAGAUGAUAAGUAAAGGAAGGACA